rnacentral:rRNA from 1 species
GACGUAGGGGGCCAGCGUUGUUCGGAAUUACUGGGUGUAAAGGGUUCGUAGGCGGUGUGGCAAGUCGGGAGUGAAAUUUCUGGGCUUAACUCAGAACCUGCUUCCGAAACUGCUGUGCUCGAGUGUGGGAGAGGCGCGUGGAAUUGCGGGUGUAGUGGUGAAAUGCGUAGAGAUCCGGAGGAACACCAGUGGCGAAGGCGACACGCUGGGCCGUACCUGACACUGAUGCGCGACAGCAUGGGGAGCAAACAGG